UACGGGGGGGGCAAGCGUUGUUCGGAAUUACUGGGCGUAAAGGGCUCGUAGGUGGCCAACUAAGUCAGACGUGAAAUCCCUCGGCUUAACCGGGGAACUGCGUCUGAUACUGGAUGGCUAGAGAUUGGGAGAGGGAUGCGGAAUUCCAGGUGUAGCGGUGAAAUGCGUAGAUAUCUGGAGGAACACCGGUGGCGAAGGCGGCAUCCUGGACCUGCACUGACGCUCAUGCACGAAAGCGUGGGGAGCAAACAGG
rnacentral:rRNA from 1 species